rnacentral:rRNA from 1 species
CCUACGGGGGGCAGCAGUGGGGAAUAUUGCACAAUGGGGGAAACCCUGAUGCAGCGACGCCGCGUGAGUGAAGAAGUAUUUCGGUAUGUAAAGCUCUAUCAGCAGGGAAGAAAAAAGACGGUACCUGACUAAGAAGCCCCGGCUAACUACGUGCCAGCAGCCGCGGUAAUACGUAGGGGGCAAGCGUUAUCCGGAAUUACUGGGUGUAAAGGGUGCGUAGGUGGCAUGGUAAGUCAGAAGUGAAAGCCCGGGGCUUAACCCCGGGACUGCUUUUGAAACUGUCAUGCUGGAGUGCAGGAGAGGUA